rnacentral:rRNA from 1 species
ACAUAUCAAUAAGCGGAGGAAAAGAAACCAACAGGGAUUGCCCCAGUAACGGCGAGUGAAGCGGCAACAGCUCAAAUUUGAAAUCUGGCCCCCGGGUCCGAGUUGUAAUUUGUAGAGGAUGCUUUUGGCGAGGUGCCUUCCGAGUUCCCUGGAACGGGACGCCAUAGAGGGUGAGAGCCCCGUCUGGUCGGACACCGAGCCUCUGUAAAGCUCCUUCGACGAGUCGAGUAGUUUGGGAAUGCUGCUCAAAAUGGGAGGUAUAUGUCUUCUAAAGCUAAAUAUUGGCCAGAGACCGAUAGCGCACAAGUAGAGUGAUCGAAAGAUGAAAAGCACUUUGAAAAGAGGGUUAAAAAGUACGUGAAAUUGUUGAAAGGGAAGCGCCUAUGACCAGACUUGGGCCCGGUGAAUCAUCCAGCGUUCUCGCUGGUGCACUUUGCCGGGCACAGGCCAGCAUCAGUUUGGCGCGGGGGAGAAAGGCUCUGGGAAUGUGGCUCCUCCGGGAGUGUUAUAGCCCACUGCGUAAUACCCUGCGCCGGACUGAGGUACGCGCAUUGCAAGGAUGCUGGCGUAAUGGUCAUCAGCGACCCGUCUUGAAACACGGACCAAGGAGUCGUCUUCGUAUGCGAGUGUUCGGGUGUCAAACCCCUACGCGUAAUGAAAGUGAACGCAGGUGAGAGCUUCGGCGCAUCAUCGACCGAUCCUGAUGUUCUCGGAUGGAUUUGAGUAAGAGCAUACGGGGCCGGACCCGAAAGAAGGUGAACUAUGCCUGUAUAGGGUGAAGCCAGAGGAAACUCUGGUGGAGGCUCGCAGCGGUUCUGACGUGCGAAUCGAUCGUCAAAUAUGGGCAUGGGGGCGAAAGACUAAUCGAACCUUCUAGUAGCUGGUUUCCGCGA